GACGAACGCUGGCGGCGUGCCUAAUACAUGCAAGUAGAACGCUGAAGAGAGGAGCUUGCUCUUCUUGGAUGAGUUGCGAACGGGUGAGUAACGCGUAGGUAACCUGCCUUGUAGCGGGGGAUAACUAUUGGAAACGAUAGCUAAUACCGCAUAACAAUGGAUGACACAUGUCAUUUAUUUGAAAGGGGCAAUUGCUCCACUACAAGAUGGACCUGCGUUGUAUUAGCUAGUAGGUGAGGUAAUGGCUCACCUAGGCGACGAUACAUAGCCGACCUGAGAGGGUGAUCGGCCACACUGGGACUGAGACACGGCCCAGACUCCUACGGGAAGCAGCAGUAGGGAAUCUUCGGCAAUGGGGGCAACCCUGACCGAGCAACGCCGCGUGAGUGAAGAAGGUUUUCGGAUCGUAAAGCUCUGUUGUAAGUCAAGAACGGGUGUGAGAGUGGAAAGUUCACACUGUGACGGUAGCUUACCAGAAAGGGACGGCUAACUACGUG
rnacentral:rRNA from 1 species